UACGUAGGGGGCGAGCGUUGUCCGGAUUUAUUGGGCGUAAAGCGCGCGUAGGCGGCCUGGUAAGUCCGCUGUGAAAGUCAAAGGCUCAACCUUUGAAUGUCAGCGGAUACUGCCAGGCUAGAGUCCGGAAGAGGCGAGUGGAAUUCCUGGUGUAGCGGUGGAAUGCGCAGAUAUCAGGAGGAACACCAACGGCGAAGGCAGCUCGCUGGGACGGUACUGACGCUGAGGCGCGAAAGCGUGGGGAGCGAACAGG
rnacentral:rRNA from 1 species